CAUCGCAUUUGUAAAUCCACAGCCUCUGGUUCGUGGUUUUCUUCUUCCCUCCCUUCACAUUCUUUUCUUCUCAUCUUAAUUUUCAUUAUAUUUGCCUCUUGUUGUGUUGCGAUUGACAACAAUUCUUGCGAACUGUUAUCCAGGCGAAUAAGUGAAGAUGGUGCAAUAUAACUUCAAGAAGAUGACUGUUGUACCAAAUGGGAAGGACUUCAUUGACAUCAUCCUAUCUCGCACCCAGAGGCAGACCCCAACUGUAGUCCACAAGGGUUGUGCAAUUUCCCUCCUCCGUUCUUUCUAUAUGCGUAAAGUAAAAUAUACCCAACAGAAUUUUCAUGAGAAGCUCUCCACAAUCAUUGAUGAGUUUCCUAGGCUGGAUGAAAUCCACCCUUUCUAUGGCGACCUUCUUCAUGUUCUCUACAACAAAGACCAUUACAAGCUUGCUCUUGGCCAAAUCAAUACUGCAAGGAACCUUAUUGGAAAGAUUUCUAAAGAUUAUGUGAAAUUGUUAAAGUAUGGUGAUUCACUUUACCGAUGCAAAUGUCUCAAGGUCGCUGCUCUAGGCCGCAUGUGCACGGUUAUAAAGAGGAUUGGUCCAAGUUUGCUUACCUAGAACAAAUUAGGCAACACAUGGCAAGGCUACCAUCAAUUGACCCUAAUACCAGGACAAUAUUGAUUUGUGGCUAUCCGAAUGUUGGAAAGAGCUCAUUCAUUAACAAGAUCACUAGGGCUGAUGUGGAUGUCCAGCCCUAUGCUUUUACCACCAAGUCACUCUUUGUGGGACAUACGGAUUAUAAAUACUUGAGGUACCAGGUAAUUGAUACACCAGGGAUUUUGGACCGCCCAUUUGAAGACCGUAACAUUAUUGAGAUGUGCAGCAUCACAGCUUUGGCUCACUUAAGAGCUGCGGUGCUGUUUUUCUUGGACAUCUCGGGGUCUUGUGGGUACAGCAUUGCCCAACAGGCAGCUCUUUUUCACAGUAUUAAGUCUCUGUUUAUGAACAAACCAUUGAUUAUAGUCUGCAACAAGACUGAUUUGCAGCCACUGGAGGGUAUAUCUGAGGAAGACAAGAAGUUGGUCACGGAGAUGAAAGCUGAAGCUAUGAAGACAGUGAUUGGUCAAGGAGGUGAGGCUACCAAUGAUGAGGGGGUACUCUUGACCAUGAGCACUCUGACUGAGGAGGGGGUUAUUGCUGUAAAGAAUGCAGCUUGUGAGAGGUUGUUGAAUCAGAGAGUGGAAUUGAAGAUGAAAUCCAAAAAGAUAAAUGACUGCUUAAAUCGUUUUCAUGUUGCAAUGCCAAAGCCACGUGACAACAAGGAAAGACCCCCAUGUAUACCUCAGGUAGUUUUAGAAGCAAACGCUAAGCAAGCAGCAGAGAAGGAAAAAAGAAAUACAGAAAAGGAUUUGGAGAAUGACAAUGGCGGUGCAGGUGUAUACUCUGCCAGUUUGAAGAAAAAACUAUAUCUUAGCUAAUGAUGAAUGGAAAGAGGAUGUCAUGCCAGAAAUUCUUGAUGGGCACAACAUAUACGACUUUGUUGAUCCUGAUAUUUUGCAUAGGCUUGCGGAGUUGGAACGAGAAGAAGGAUACCGGGAGGCAGAUGAGGGUGAUGAUAAUUUUGAGAUGGAGGGAUUGGAAUUGACUCCAGAAGAGCAAAAGACAUUGUCUGAGAUAAGGAAAAAGAAAAGCUUGCUCGUUCAACAACAUAGAAUCAAGAAAAGUACAGCAGAGAGUCGACCAACUGUACCAAGGAAAUUUGACAAGGACAGGGAGUUUACAACAAAGAGAAUGGGGAGGCAGCUAUCAAAGUUGGGACUUGAUCCUACUAAGGCAAUUAACAGAGCUCGAAGCAGAUCUGUCUCAACUAGGGGCCGAAAGAGGGAGAGAUCACUUGACAGGGAUGAUACUGAUGGUGGUGAUGCUAUGGAUGUGGAUACACCCAACAAGAAGCAAUGCAUGUUAUCUAGAUCCCGUUUGAGGUCAAGAUCAAGGCCUCCAACUGAGGUUGUCCCUGGAGAGGGAUUCAAGGACUCUGCUCAAAAGGCUAAGGCACUACAAAAGGCCAAUAAAUCUAAUAAGAUGAGAAACAAGAAUGCUCGUCGUGGAGAGGCAGAUAGGGUCAUUCCCACUUUAAAACCAAAGCACUUGUUCUCUGGAAAACGAUCAAUUGGAAAAACUCAAAGGCGUUAAAAUAUUUGAGGUACUCAGACACAUUGCAUCACUUUUCAAUUCAGCUUGUCUUUGUUUUGAGCACUCAUGGGAAACAGUUAUAUAUGCUGAUUUUCCUUUUUCUCUGACCAGCUUUAGGGAUGCGUAUGCUUCAUGCAAAUUACAUGAUUUAUGGGACCAGUUGCAUUCUAUUUUUUGUGUCUAUUACAUGCAUACCUCAUCAACCUACGCUUCCGUGUAUCAGAUGCGUACAUGUCAGAAUAACAUUCUCGUAGCUACCAGAUGGAAGUUUUUGGUCCGUUAGGAAAUGCUAGUGUCAUAUUGAUCAUUAAAAUUAAUCUCCUGUUCUGUGGUGUUGAUUUGAUUUCAUACUAUUGAAGCUAUUAAGACUGAAGUAGUAUAUUUGUCAUGUGCUCAAU